rnacentral:rRNA from 1 species
GAUGAACGCUGGCGGCGUGCCUAAUACAUGCAAGUCGAGCGAACAGACGAGGAGCCUGCUCCUCUGACGUUAGCGGCGGACGGGUGAGUAACACGUGGAUAACCUACCUAUAAGACUGGGAUAACUUCGGGAAACCGGAGCUAAUACCGGAUAAUAUAUUGAACCGCGUGGUUCAAUAGUGAAAGACGGUUUUGCUGUCACUUAUAGAUGGAUCCGCGCCGCAUUAGCUAGUUGGUAAGGUAACGGCUUACCAAGGCAACGAUGCGUAGCCGACCUGAGAGGGUGAUCGGCCACACUGGAACUGAGACACGGUCCAGACUCCUACGGGAGGCAGCAGUAGGGAAUCUUCCGCAAUGGGCGAAAGCCUGACGGAGCAACGCCGCGUGAGUGAUGAAGGUCUUCGGAUCGUAAAACUCUGUUAUUAGGGAAGAACAAAUGUGUAAGUAACUAUGCACGUCUUGACGGUACCUAAUCAGAAAGCCACGGCUAACUACGUG